rnacentral:rRNA from 1 species
AGUGAACGCUGGCGGCGUGCUUAACACAUGCAAGUCGAACGAGAACGGGUUAUAGCUUGCUAUAAUUGUCAGCUAAGUGGCGCACGGGUGAGUAAUGUAUAGGUAAUAUGCCUCUUACUAAGGGAUAACAAUUGGAAACGAUUGCUAAUACCUUAUACUCCUUAUUAACAGAAGUUAAUAAGGGAAAGAUUUAUUGGUAAGAGAUUAGCCUGUAUUGUAUCAGUUAGUUGGUGGGGUAAUGGCUUACCAAGACUAUGACACAUAACUGGUUUGAGAGGAUGAUAAGUCACACUGGAACUGAGACACGGUCCAGACUCCUACGGGAGGCAGCAGUGGGGAAUAUUGCACAAUGGACGAAAGUCUGAUGCAGCAACGCCGCGUGGAGGAUGACACAUUUCGGUGCGUAAACUCCUUUUAUAUGAGAAGAUAAUGACGGUAUUAUAUGAAUAAGCACCGGCUAACUCCGUGCCAGCAGCCGCCGCGG